ensembl:lncRNA
AUGAAGAACAGCUUCCCCAGCCUUUCUGGGUACAAAUCCCACUGGCUCAGCACACAAAGCUUGAUUGAUAGUGGACUUUUAUUAUUAUUAUUAUUAGUUGUUCCACCAAUGCCUGCGCUGUACCUAAGCAACAGCACCAGAAGGCUCCAGGCAGGUUCUGCCCUGGAAGCAGGGCUGCCUCUAGGUAGGACUACCUAGAAAGAGUUCCCUGCCUGCCCUUCCCACCUGCCUUCCUUAUCACCCACUUCUUCUGGAAGGGUUCAUUCUCCUUCUCUUCCCGUUUGAAAGAGUCCUAUUUCAUAUUUCCUAAUUUCAUCACAUGUCAGUACACCUGUGCUGGAUGCUGCACCUUUACUCUCCUUGUUAGGAGAGGGCAGAGCUGGGUGUGCAGCCCACUGCUCCACAUGAGCAGAUAUCACUGGGGGAGCCUCACCAGGAGCUGCAGAACCCCACUCAUCUGCACAGCCCCCAGAGAGGAUUCCCAGGAGAGCCUCACUGUCAUCAGUAUACCACACAGGUGGAAACCCAUGCUUGGGGCAUCCACGGAACUGCUGAACUCACUGGAUUCUAUUCAGAAGAUCUCUAGGAGGAUCAUAGAAUAGAACCAUAGGAUAUCAAAUCAGAAAGGACACACAACAACCAUCGAGUCCAACUCCUGGAUCCAUAAAGUACUACCUAAAAAAUUACACCUUUAGGAAGGCUGGGGGAUAUCUUAGUCCUCUGUCACAGUAUCAUGAAUGUCUCCACGAGAAAGCUGUUUAAUCCUUACAGGAAAGAAUUGCUCUGAAGGCAGAGUGAACAUUACCAGAACCGAUCAUGGUGACAUCCCUUCUCACAGUCAGCUCCAGGGGAAAGGUCCUCCCAGCACCCGGGAGUGAAAUCCUAGAAAGUAUCAAAACACACUUGUUUGAAAAAUAAAUAGAUGUACAUAAAGCCAGAAAAGAAAACAGUGUAUUCUUAAUGCUCCAUUAUUAACGGUACUCAGUAAGGGAUUUUCUGCUUUGCUGGAGCAUGUAACAGGCUUAAAUAAGAAUCCCUAUCAGAACAUAUCUUUGUAAUUAUGCAGAUAAUAUUUUUGCUACUGUAAUGACAACAUAAACGCUCACAAACUGCAUUGGUUACACAUCUCUGAAAUACAGAGAUGUCUCUGAGCUUGCACUUCUGUGAAGACCACAAACACAUCACCUUGACCAACACUUCAGUCUGCAGGCAUUUCAUGGCAUCGUCCUUUGUUUUGAGUGAGUCCAGCUCCUGGUUCCUGGCACAUGUCCCCAUGGGGGUUGUGCCAGGGAUGGAUGCUGAUUUCCUAGCCCUAUGCUAUUUGUUAACCGUUUCCAGCCUGCAUCAAUAGCACAUCCCAGCAAGAGCUCAGGUGCAUCUGGUGCUCAGCUGGCACUUCUCAGAAAGAAAACCCUCAGGAGCUCCCAACAGACACAGUGGUGUUUUUGAGCUAAAUUCGCCUGUUUUCACCAUGUUUGUUUGUAAGAAGUCUCUCAAAAGAGAGCUAGCCAAACACUGCACUGUCACUCUUUAUCUCCCCAAAAUAACGAUACCACUCAGAAGGGGGGUGGGGGGGUUGGAAGCAGAUGAAAUAUUCUGUUUGUUUUCUUUUCUCAAUGACUGCUCAUGUUUGUGAUCUCAGCGACCAUCGUGGAAUACAAACACAGCACUGACAUGCCUGCAAGUGUAAGGUGUUUUAUUGCUCUGGCAAUGGGACCGAACCCUUCCACAGCCAGUCUUGUAAACAGAUACAUCCCUUGCUGAAGAGCUGAGAUGUCCUGAUUACCAACACUUCUGCCAUGUCUCACAGCUUCCUAAACGCCAACUGGAAACCAUCUUGGUAUUACACUGUGUCAUCGCGGUAUAAGAACAAAUAAAGUCAAGUUUAUUGAGUUGCAGAAUUGCAGUGCAUUUGCAAAAUUC